rnacentral:lncRNA from 1 species
CCUGAUUUCUCAGACCGGCUCAAGCCCCACCUACUCCAGGAAGCCCUCCUGGCCCCCUUAUCUGAUAGCCUGUAGUAGCUACUGUCUAGCUCACAACUCGAAACCUCUGAUCAUGUUCUGUAGAGUACACCCGCUCAACUGAUCCAAUGCAACCAAUACAGUAUUGGAAGCUUUCUACGAACAAGGCACCCAGAGAGGGCUCGGAGGAAGAUGACAGUGCCAACGGGCACAGGGAGAAUCGUGAGCUUACUGCACCUUCCCAGCAGGCAGAGUGAGCCCGUAGGACAAGAGCCCCCUUUCUCCGUUUCCCAUCUGCCCUGCAGCCCCGAGGAACGGUCCAUUCUACAGACAAGAGGCCUGACGCUCAGAAGCAAAGCAACUUGCCACAAUCGCAUCACCGGCGAAAGUACCUUCAAGACAGUCCUGGACGCGGUGGCUUCACGCCUGUAAUACCAGCACUUUGGGAGGCCAAGGCAAGAGGAUCACUGGAUCACUUGAGCCCAGAAGUUUGAGACUAGCCUGGACAACAUAGUGAAACCCCUGUCUUUACAAAAAUUGAUUAAUUAAUUAAUUGUUUAAAAGAGACUAUUCCUCAUUCUUUUGACAUCAUUUUAAAUGAGAAUGCAGAAUAUGACAUUGUACAUACUGAUAUUUGAUUCCUUUUAUAUAACCUUUCAUGUAUUAAAAAACUGCACUGAAAAUCUAGAAUUAAGUUAAAAUUGGUGUGGGUUAUUUGUGAAUGGUGGGAUUUUUUAAAUGUAUUCCAACACCCAUAUAUUCCAACUUUUCCACACUUCCAAAGUCUGGAAUACUUUGAGGAUGGGGAGGAAAGAUAUGUUUACGGUCCUUGGGAAACUGAAAAGCAUUUCCUGUGAUGUCCCAGGGAGCUGGGGCACAGGAGCCAGCCUUGAAGUGGAAACCCCAGGCCAUCCACUCACAAUCUGAGUAUCCUUGGGUGAGUGAUCUCUCUAACCUCCCAUCGAGUCCCCUGUAAACUAGAAAUAAUUAUAGCUGCCCACAUCACUGUCUUACUAUAAGAGUAAAAUGAGAUAAUGUAUUUUAAAACAUUGGUAUAGUGUGAGUAUUCAAUAAAUAUUCUUUGAGUGAAUUUAGUGCAUUGUUUUGUUUUGUUUUUUUGAGAUGGAGUCUCACUCUCACC